GACGUACCUGGGCCUGGUAACUCCACCACCGUUGGCGGUGCCAGUGCGCCAACGGGGGCAGAGUUCCCGCUCCUAGAUGCGCG
rnacentral:pre_miRNA from 1 species